GUUAUAGGGUCAAGCGAAUAAGUGCAUGUGGUGGAUGCCUUGGCGAUCACAGGCGAUGAAGGACGUAGUAGCUUGCGAAAAGCUGCGGGGAGCUGGCAAACGAGCUUUGAUCCGCAGAUGUCCGAAUGGGGAAACCCGGCCCGUAUGGGUCAUCCCUUGCUGAAUACAUAGGCAAGGGAGGCGAACGCAGUGAACUGAAACAUCUAAGUAGCUGCAGGAAAAGAAAUCAACCGAGAUUCCCAAAGUAGUGGCGAGCGAAAUGGGAACAGCCUUGUACUCUUUAGCAGUAUUGUUAGCGGAACGGAAUGGAAAGUCCGGCCAUAGUGGGUGAUAGCCCCGUACGCGAAAACAGUAUUGUGGAACUAGGUGUACGACAAGUAGGGCGGGACACGUGAAAUCCUGUCUGAAGAUGGGGGGACCAUCCUCCAAGGCUAAAUACUCGUGAUCGACCGAUAGUGAACCAGUACCGUGAGGGAAAGGCGAAAAGAACCCCGGGAGGGGAGUGAAAUAGAUCCUGAAACCGCAUGCAUACAAACAGUCGGAGCCUGGAAACGGGUGACGGCGUACCUUUUGUAUAAUGGGUCAGCGACUUACAUUCAGUGGCAAGCUUAACCGAUUAGGGAAGGCGUAGCGAAAGCGAGUCCGAAUAGGGCGUUCAGUCGCUGGGUGUAGACCCGAAACCAAGUGAUCUAUCCAUGGCCAGGUUGAAGGUGCGGUAACACGUACUGGAGGACCGAACCCACUAACGUUGAAAAGUUAGGGGAUGAGCUGUGGAUAGGGGUGAAAGGCUAAACAAACUUGGAAAUAGCUGGUUCUCUCCGAAAACUAUUUAGGUAGUGCCUCGUGUCUCACCUUCGGGGUAGAGCACUGUCAUGGUUGGGGGGUCUAUUGCUGAUUACCCCGCCAUAGCAAACUCCGAAUACCGAAGAGUGCAAUCACGGGAGACAGACAUCGGGUGCUAACGUCCGGUGUCAAGAGGGAAACAACCCAGACCGCCAGCUAAGGUCCCUAAGAUUGGCUAAGUGGGAAACGAAGUGGGAAGGCUAAAACAGUCAGGAGGUUGGCUUAGAAGCAGCCACCCUUUAAAGAAAGCGUAAUAGCUCACUGAUCGAGUCGUCCUGCGCGGAAGAUGUAACGGGGCUAAGCCAGUCACCGAAGCUGCGGAUGCACGUAAGUGCAUGGUAGGAGAGCGUUCUGUAAGCCUGUGAAGGUGUCUUGUAAAGGAUGCUGGAGGUAUCAGAAGUGCGAAUGCUGACAUGAGUAGCGAUAAAGGGGGUGAAAGGCCCCCUCGCCGUAAGCCCAAGGUUUCCUACGCAACGUUCAUCGGCGUAGGGUGAGUCGGCCCCUAAGGCGAGGCAGAGAUGCGUAGCUGAUGGGAAGCAGGUUAAUAUUCCUGCACCGUCGUAUGAUGCGAUGGGGGACGGAUCGCGGAAGGUUGUCCGGGUGUUGGAAGUCCCGGUCCCUACAUUGGAGAUGGCACUUAGGCAAAUCCGGGUGCGUGAUUCAAGGGUGUGGGGCGAGCGACGUUAGGUCGCGAAGCAAUUGGAAGUGGUUCCAAGAAAAGCCUCUAAGCUUCAGUCAUACGAGACCGUACCGCAAACCGACACAGGUGGGCGAGAUGAGUAUUCUAAGGCGCUUGAGAGAACUCGGGAGAAGGAACUCGGCAAAUUGGUACCGUAACUUCGGGAUAAGGUACGCCCUUGUAGUUUGACUGGCUCGCGCCAGAAGGAUGAAGGGGUUGCAAUAAAAUGGUGGCUGCGACUGUUUAAUAAAAACACAGCACUCUGCAAACACGAAAGUGGACGUAUAGGGUGUGACGCCUGCCCGGUGCCGGAAGAUUAAAUGAUGGGGUGCAAGCUCUUGAUUGAAGUCCCGGUAAACGGCGGCCGUAACUAUAACGGUCCUAAGGUAGCGAAAUUCCUUGUCGGGUAAGUUCCGACCUGCACGAAUGGCGUAACGAUGGCCACACUGUCUCCUCCCGAGACUCAGCGAAGUUGAAGUGUUUGUGAUGAUGCAAUCUCCCCGCGGCUAGACGGAAAGACCCCAUGAACCUUUACUGUAGCUUUGCAUUGGACUUUGAACCGAUCUGUGUAGGAUAGGUGGGAGGCUUUGAAACCGGGACGCUAGUUUCGGUGGAGCCGACCUUGAAAUACCACCCUGGUUUGUUUGAGGUUCUAACCUUGGCCCGUGAAUCCGGGUCGGGGACAGUGCAUGGUAGGCAGUUUGACUGGGGCGGUCUCCUCCCAAAGUGUAACGGAGGAGUUCGAAGGUACGCUUGGUACGGUCGGACAUCGUACCUAAAGUGCAAUGGCAAAAGCGUGCUUAACUGCGAGACCGACAAGUCGAGCAGGUGCGAAAGCAGGACAUAGUGAUCCGGUGGUUCUGUAUGGAAGGGCCAUCGCUCAACGGAUAAAAGGUACUCUGGGGAUAACAGGCUGAUACCGCCCAAGAGUUCAUAUCGACGGCGGUGUUUGGCACCUCGAUGUCGGCUCAUCUCAUCCUGGGGCUGUAGCCGGUCCCAAGGGUAUGGCUGUUCGCCAUUUAAAGAGGUACGUGAGCUGGGUUUAAAACGUCGUGAGACAGUUUGGUCCCUAUCUGCCGUGGGCGUUGGAAUCUUGACGGGGGCUGCUCCUAGUACGAGAGGACCGGAGUGGACGUACCGCUGGUGUACCUGUUGUCUCGCCAGAGGCAUCGCAGGGUAGCUAUGUACGGAAGAGAUAACCGCUGAAAGCAUCUAAGCGGGAAACUCGCCUGAAGAUGAGGAUUCCCUGGAGACUUGAUCUCCCUGAAGGGUCGUUCGAGACCAGGACGUUGAUAGGCUGGGUGUGGAAGCGCAGUAAUGCGUUCAGCUAACCAGUACUAAUUGCCCGUGCGGCUUGAUCCUAUAACC
rnacentral:rRNA from 1 species